GACGCUGGCAGUCUUGGUUUUCUGCUAGUGCUGCUGCUGCUGGGAGGACGACGGACGGCAGCGGCCAAGCAAGAAGAAAGACGUGGCAGCAAGCGGGAGUCGGGCAUAGUGUCAUCGGUUCGGUAAAGUUUCUGUUCUCUGGGUCCCAGUACUUUGGAGCUUGUCUCAAACUCCACAUACAGAAAGCCACCGACCUUAUUCCGGUAUCCUACACCCAUUCCCCACUCUCAUUACACUCCCACCCCUGGCCCUCAGCGUCGGAGUCAAGAGCAACAGGGACACUCCGUUCUCCUUGUAGGAUUGGUGAAACCGUAAUGAAGAACACCCCUAAACUCCCAUAAUCGAUUUGGGGAUAUUCCCUGCCCAAAAAAUUCCUGGAAAAUUGACUAGUAUUAAGUGUGAGUAAAAGGUGUCCACUUUUUUUUAAGUUUUGAUUUUAGUUUUGUCUUGGAUAGUAUUUGGCAAGAUUUAGCCUAGAAAUUAUGUAGUAUUUAUUACAUAAGAAUCAAAAUUGCUUUGUUACUGGGCUGGUUUCAAAGUUUAGAACUCAUUUCUAUGUAUCAAAAUCGGGUUUUUUUUUUGUUUUUGAUUUUUUUUUUUUAAUUCUUAAAUGGUAAAUAUGCCAUUGUGAAAUGAAAUCUCAACUCCAAAAGUUUACCCUUUUACUAACUGGAGUAAAUGUAUACUUACAAAGUCUUUAGCUGUAGCCAUUAGUAGUAAAGAAUUUGGACCUAGGCUGCGUAAGCAAGCCUUUCCAGGGCCACUAUUUAAUGGCAAACCAGUGAUACUGGUGUUGAUACAAAAUAAGAAAUAAAUUUUCCCUUAGAUAAAGGUUUCUGUGUUUUGACAGUGCCAGUUUAGAAUGGCUAUAAUGCUGCUCUGCCUUCUACAGCUUGCUGCACCACUCUGUAGUUACUCUAUUACCAUACGUUUCUAUCUUUU
rnacentral:sRNA from 1 species